rnacentral:tRNA from 1 species
GCAGGUAUAGCUCAGUGGCAGAGCACAUGCUUAGGACGCAUGAGGUCCUGGGUUCUAUCCCAGUACCUCCA